AGUUGAGAAAGAAUAUCCUGUAUCAACAUUUCAGUAUGCGUUGUCGAUUAGCAUUUUAAUCGUUCAUAGGACGAAACAAUGGCAGUCGUAAUAAACUGAAUGCUGCAAACAGAAUUAUCUCAUAUUCCUUGUCUUAUGUACAGACGAAUCCUGUUGACAAUUUGGCGACUGAGAUGGAGGCGUUAAACCGGAUCGUCAACCAGGACGAAAUGAUGGAUGAAAGUACAACGCCUCAACCUGGUGUUGCCUUGGACAGCGCGGAGGUCCCAAAAACUCCGAAUCCUAUCCCGAACGAGAAUACGAAGAAAAAAA